rnacentral:rRNA from 1 species
CGCAUCUGUGCAUGCAGCAUAUCAAUAAGCGGAGGAAAAGAAACUAACAAGGAUUCCCUUAGUAACGGCGAGUGAAGGCGGGAAGAGCUCAAAUUUGAAAUCUUCAAGGUUUUACCUUGACGAAUUGUAGUUUAAAGAAGUGUUUUCUGUUGAAGUUUUGGUAAAAGUUCUUUGGAAUAGGACAUCAUAGAGGGUGAGAAUCCCGUAUUUGACCAUUAUUUUCAGCUGUGUGAUACACUUUCAAAGAGUCGGAUUGUUUGGGAACUGCAGUCCAAAAUGGGUGGUAAAUUUCAUCUAAAGCUAAAUAUUGGCGAGAGACCGAUAGCGAACAAGUACCGUGAGGGAAAGAUGAAAAGAACUUUGAAAAGAGAGUUAAACAGUACGUGAAAUUGUCAAAAGGGAAGCGUUUGACACCAGUGUUGUUUUCUCGAAAAUCAAUUAAAAAGAGUUAGAUUUUGUUGUGUAUUGACCUUAACAGCUUGCAUUUCAAUUUUCUUGCUUUUUUUAAUGCACUUUUCGUUUAACAAGUCAACAUCAGUUUCUUUUGUUGUAAAAAGGUCAUUGGAAGGUGGCUUUCUUUUCGGAGAAAGUGUUUAUAGCCUUUGACUCCUGCAAUCGGAGAGACUGAGGUCCUGCAGCGUAGAUCCUUCGGGGUUAGAUACAUUUGUGCUAAGUUAUAGCUUUUUAUAGACAACUUGUUGACUAUGAUUAGUCUUGUAGCUUACUCGCUUAUGCUAUUUUACCUACGCUUAGGAUGUUGACGCGCGUGUGUGCGUGAGUCUAUACAUGACUCUGCGCAUAUCAAUAAGCGGAGGAAAAGCAUAACAUGUAUACCUACGCUUAGGAUGUUGACGAGACUGUCGAUCUCAUCUAUACAUGGCUCUGUGCAUAUCAAUAAGCGGAGGAAAAGAGGGCUAUUACCUACGCUUAGGAUGUUGACGCGCGUGUGUGCGUG